GACGAACGCUGGCGGUGUGCUUAACACAUGCAAGUCGAACGGUAAGGCCCUUUCGGGGGUACACGAGUGGCGAACGGGUGAGUAACACGUGAGUAACCUGCCCUCAUCUCUGGGAUAACAGUCGGAAACGGUUGCUAAUACUGGAUAUGAGCCUGCAAGGCAUCUUGUGGGUUGGAAAGAUUUUUUGGUUGGGGAUGGACUCGCGGCCUAUCAGCUUGUUGGUGAGGUAGUGGCUCACCAAGGCUUCGACGGGUAGCCGGCCUGAGAGGGCGACCGGCCACAUUGGGACUGAGAUACGGCCCAAACUCCUACGGGAGGCAGCAGGGGGGAAUAUUGCACAAUGGACGGAAGUCUGAUGCAGCAACGCCGCGUGCGGGAGGACGGCCUUCGGGUUGGAAACCGCUUUCAAUUGUGACGAAGCUUUUUGUGACGGUAGCAGUAGAAGAAGCACCGGCUAACUACGUG
rnacentral:rRNA from 1 species